UGGUGCUUUGUCUUUCUCUGAUAGUCCGCCUGAUAAUAUCCCAAGGAAUCGAUGGACAUCGCCUUUGCCAAAGUUCCAUUUAAGCGAGCUUUCUUCUGUCGCCGCAGGAGGUAAGCUAGUGAAUCACACUACAAUAACUCCAAAGCUUUGUUCUUUUUCAGAACAUGAACCAUUUGACAUUGUUGUUUAACAAUUUAGUUGUGUCCGAAUCACAGGCUCUAGAAUUCAAACUUCUUGGCUUCCUCGCUCCGUUGAGGUGACUUUUUGGCUCUUUUAGUUGUUUCAAUUUCAACAGCAUUUAUCUUAUAAAUAUUUCAUCUUUAUCAUGGUGUUUUUCAUGUGGCAGAG
rnacentral:lncRNA from 1 species